rnacentral:lncRNA from 1 species
UCAUGAGAGCAGCUAUAAUGAAACUCCUCAUGGAGUUUUUGAUUAUGUGAUUCUUUGGCACUUUUAUAGUGAUUAAAUGAUUUCCAUACCAAAUAUUUUAUGAUUACUUGAUUAUUUAUUUUGAUAAUCUAUAGGACGAGUUCUGUUUUUAUGAUUGUUUAACCAAGGAGGUCAUAUAAUCUCCUUGGUUUAACUAUCGUGUUUAAAAAAUAAUAAUAAUUCAUUUAUGUCAGUGAUUAAAUUGGCAACCAAUUUGUGAUUCAUGUGAUUACUUGGAUUCCCCCCAAUGAAGGGCCUCUAUAAUUUAAACAGAAAUACGCUUUUAAUAUCCAAAACUCUAUAUAGUUUAAACGAGUACAUUCGGAAACAUGUAAGACGACGACCAGUUGAUAUUUUGGAGGGAAGACUGGUUUAGGAAAUGUAAUUUAACCGAAACUUUGACUGCUGCAGGACGAAAAUGAAUAAUCUAUCUACAGAAUUUAUAAAAAGUGCUUUGAUUCAGAGAUUGAUUUUUUGUGGUUUCCUACACCAAAGCAUCAACGCUUUGAAUUUAUCGACGUUUAUAAUCUUAACACAGAGUCUUUGGACAAUACUUUUAUGCAUAUUUAUUACUAGUCAGAUAUUUUUAUGGUAUCACGUAGUUAAAUAUGGGAGUGGAUAUAUUCUAUCUAGAAAAGACAAAUACCAACAACUGCUGUCAAACAAAGACUAGAUUAAAAAAAAAAAACGGAACCAAAUUUUCAUUACAAUUUUUAAAUUUUUUGAUCAAUUCUGUUUUAAAUAGAAUUAU